rnacentral:rRNA from 1 species
GCUAACAUGGUGGCAGCAUGUGCGGUAAUACGGAGGGGGGUGUCGGUGUACGGAAUGAAUGGGCGUAAAGGGCGCGGAUGCGGCACUGUUAGUCAGCUGUGAAAGUCAUAGGCUCAACCUUGGGAGUGCGGUGGAUACUGGAGGGCUAGAGUACGGAAGAGGGGAGUGGAACUGCUGGUGUAGCGGUGGAAUGCGCAGAUAUCAGGAAGAACACCAACGGCGAAGGCAGCUCGCUGGGACGUUACUGACGCUGAGGCGCGAAAGCGUGGGGAGCGAACAGGAUUAGAUACCCCAGUAGUC